UGGGGAAUUUUGGACAAUGGGCGAAAGCCUGAUCCAGCAAUGCCGCGUGUGUGAAGAAGGCCUUCGGGUUGUAAAGCACUUUUGUCCGGAAAGAAAUCCUUGGCUCUAAUACAGUCGGGGGAUGACGGUACCGGAAGAAUAAGCACCGGCUAACUACGUGCCAGCAGCCGCGGUAAUACGUAAGGUGCAAGCGUUAAUCGGAAUUACUGGGCGUAAAGCGUGCGCAGGCGGUUUGCUAAGACCGAUGUGAAAUCCCCGGGCUCAACCUGGGAACUGCAUUGGUGACUGGCAGGCUAGAGUAUGGCAGAGGGGGGUAGAAUUCCACGUGUAGCAGUGAAAUGCGUAGAGAUGUGGAGGAAUACCGAUGGCGAAGGCAGCCCCCUGGGCCAAUACUGACGCUCAUGCACGAAAGCGUGGGGAGCAAACAGGAUUAGAUACCCUGGUAGUCCACGCCCUAAACGAUGUCAACUAGUUGUUGGGGAUUCAUUCCUUAGUAACGUAGCUAACGCGUGAAGUUGACCGCCUGGGGAGUACGGUCGCAAGAUUAAACUCAAAUGAAUUGACGGGGUCAUAGCUG
rnacentral:rRNA from 1 species